rnacentral:rRNA from 1 species
GACGAACGCUGGCGGCGUGCUUAACACAUGCAAGUCGAACGGAAAGGCCCUGCUUUUGUGGGGUGCUCGAGUGGCGAACGGGUGAGUAACACGUGAGUAACCUGCCCUUGACUUUGGGAUAACUUCAGGAAACUGGGGCUAAUACCGGAUAGGAGCUCCUGCUGCAUGGUGGGGGUUGGAAAGUUUCGGCGGUUGGGGAUGGACUCGCGGCUUAUCAGCUUGUUGGUGGGGUAGUGGCUUACCAAGGCUUUGACGGGUAGCCGGCCUGAGAGGGUGACCGGCCAAAUUGGGACUGAGAUACGGCCCAGACCCCUACGGGGGGCAGGAGGGGGGAAUAUUGCAAAAGGGGCGGAAGCCGGAUGCAGCAACGCCGCGGGGGGGAUGACGGCCUUCGGGUUGUAAACCGCUUUCGCCUGGGACGAAGGGGGGGUGACGGUAAUGGGAAAAGAAGCACCGGCUAACUACGU